rnacentral:rRNA from 1 species
UACGGAGGGUGCAAACGUUGCUCGGAAUUAUUGGGCGUAAAGCGCACGUAGGCGGCCUAUUAAGUUGGGUGUGAAAGCCCGGGGCUCAACCCCGGAAGUGCAUCCAAAACUGCUAGGCUUGAGUACCAGAGGGGGUCGGAGAAUUCCCGGUGUAGAGGUGAAAUUCGUAGAUAUCGGGAGGAAUACCAGUGGCGAAGGCGCCGACCUGGAUGGUAACUGACGCUGAGGUGCGAAAGCGUGGGGAGCAAACAGG